rnacentral:rRNA from 1 species
UACGGAGGGUGCAAGCGUUAAUCGGAAUUACUGGGCGUAAAGCGCACGCAGGUGGCUGAGUCAGUCGAUUGUGAAAGCCCCUGGGCUUAACCUGGGAAUUGCAGUCGAUACUACUCAGCUAGAGUAUGGGAGAGGGCAGUGGAAUUCCCGGUGUAGCGGUGAAAUGCGUAGAUAUCGGGAGGAACAUCAGUGGCGAAGGCGGCCGCCUGGCCCCAAUACU